AUUUUAUUUAAUUACGUGCAACUUGUUCACUUAUACAUUUUCCUCUGUUGAGACAAUCCAGAAGCUACUCAGGAUACUUAUUUGCUUAUUCCUCUAAUUAAGCAAAGCUAUCUAUAGCCUAGAAUGCUAAUCUAAAACUGCAUUUUGUUUCUGCAGCAAUGAUCUCUGUCCAACCCCACAGCACAUUCCGGCAUUUGCACUGUGCCGUGGACGCCGCUGCAUUGUGCAUGCUCCAGGCUAUGUUUGUGGACAGUCACGUCGCCGCGGAAGUCAAGCUCAUUUGUCAUCCUUGCUAGGCACUUGCAGGGCUGCCUGAAGAGAAAAAUAUCUGAAAGCAGGCAGUGACGAAGGUAAAGAAGAGACUCAGGAGUGGAAGGGCAGAAGGGGGCUGUGGGGGUGGAUGUACGGAACCAGGCAUAUCUGAG
rnacentral:lncRNA from 1 species